GUACCAGACUCCUACGGGAGGCAGCAGUGGGGGAUAUUGCACAAUGGGGGGAACCCUGAUGCAGCGACGCCGCGUGGGUGAAGGAGUGCUUCGGCAUGUAAAGCCCUAUCGGCAGGGAAGAAGCAAGACGGUACCUGACUAAGAAGCCCCGGCUAACUCCGUGCCAGCAGCCGCGGUAAUACGGAGGAUGCGGGCGUUAUCCGGAUUUAUUGGGUUUAAAGGGUGCGUAGGCGGACAGUCAAGUCAGCGGUAAAAAUGCGGUGCUCAACGCCGUACAGCCGUCGAAACUGGCAGUCUUGAGUGGGCGAGAAGUAUGCGGAAUGCGUGGUGUAGCGGUGAAAUGCAUAGAUAUCACGCAGAACUCCGAUUGCGAAGGCAGCAUACCGGCGCCCUACUGACGCUGAGGCACGAAAGCGUGGGUAUCGAACAGGAUUAGAUACCCCAGUAA
rnacentral:rRNA from 1 species